rnacentral:rRNA from 1 species
UACGGAGGGUGCGAGCGUUAAUCGGAAUUACUGGGCGUAAAGGGUGCGUAGGUGGUUUGUUAAGUUAUCUGUAAAAUCCCUGGGCUCAACCUGGGCAUGCCAGAUAAAACUGAUGGACUCGAGUAUGGGAGAGGGUAGUGGAAUUUCCGGUGUAGCGGUGAAAUGCGUAGAGAUCGGAAGGAACACCGGUGGCGAAAGCGACUUCCUGGUCCAAUACUGACGUUCAUGUGCGAAAGCGUG